rnacentral:rRNA from 1 species
UCGCUCUUUGUCCCUAAAAAAUAAAGAGUCAGGCCUGCCCAAUGAUAAAUAUUUAAUGGCCGCAGUAUCUUGACUGUGCAAAGGUAGCAUAAUCAUUUGCCUUAUAAUUGAGGGCUGGAAUGAAUGGUCUAACAAGAACAAAGCUGUCUCUAAAAAGUUACUCAAAAAUUGAUCUUUAGGUGAAGAAGCCUAUAUAAUACUAAAAGACGAGAAGACCCUGUCGAGCUUAAAAAAUACUUAGACCCCUAUAAUUUUUUUUGAUUGGGGCGAUCAAGGAACAAAAAAAGCUUCCUAAAAAUAAAAGAAAACAAAUAGUGAUCCAAUAAAAUUGAUUAAAAGAUAAGCUACCGCAGGGAUAACAGCGUUAUCUUCUUUACGAGUUCACAUCUAAAAGAAAUUUUGCGACCUCGAUGUUGGACUAAAAUAUCCUAAAGAUGCAGAAGUCUCUAAAGGUUGGUCUGUU